ACAAUGUUGUGUGCCUGUCUUGGGAGGACUGUGCCAUUAAUUUGUUUAGCGCUUGAAUAAAUCCUGUCUGUCUGAAAGUUUGUAUUAAGCGGGAGACAGCUUUGUGCUGCUGCAUUUGCUGCUUUCUGGUGCUUUAUAAUGUUAGUCAUGGUUUGAAUGUUUGAUAGAGGUUUAUUAUAGCAUGUGUCUCCUUUCUAUUAGAUACCUGCCAUUAUUUAGGCAGGAGAAAAUGGAAUGCAUAUCAUGAUCGAGUGUUCUUUCAUUGGCCAUCUUUGAGACUUGAUGAACAUUAGGGGGAUCUGUACCAUAUAUUUGCAUGCAUAUGUGGGUCAAUAAAUUGACUGGAUCAAA
rnacentral:lncRNA from 1 species